UACAGAGGUGGCAAGCGUUGUUCGGAAUUACUGGGCGUAAAGGGCGCGUAGGCGGCCUUCUAAGUCGGACGUGAAAUCCCUCGGCUCAACCGAGGAACUGCGUCCGAUACUGAAAGGCUUGAAUCCGGGAGAGGGAUGUGGAAUUCCAGGUGUAGCGGUGAAAUGCGCAGAUAUCAGGAAGAACACCAAUGGCGAAAGCAGCUUUCUGGGACGGUACUGACGCUGAGACGCGAAAGCGUGGGGAGCGAACAGG
rnacentral:rRNA from 1 species